rnacentral:rRNA from 1 species
CCCUUAGAUGUUCUGGGCCGCACGCGCGCUACACUGACGACUUCAACGAGUUUUUUUCAUUUGAAAAAGUCCUUGGCCGGAAGGUCUGGGUAAUCUUUUAAAAGGUCGUCGUGAUGGGGCUAGAUUCUUGCAAUUAUUAAUCUCCAACGAGGAAUUCCUAGUAAACGCAAGUCAUCAACUUGCAUUGAUUACGUCCCUGCCCUUUGUACACACCGCCCGUCGCACCUACCGAUUGAGUGGUCCGGUGAGGCUUUGGGAUCUGAGCGGAAAGAGCGUUUCGCUGUUUCUGCUCGGAAAACUCAGUCGAACCUUAUCAUUUAGAGGAAGGAGAAGUCGUAACA